CAUCCCCUGCAGUGUUCGACCGUGGCCUGGGUAUUUUCUUGAGCCUAAUCGCUGCCCUGGGGACAUAGAGGAGAGGCUGUUGUGCAUGUCCGCCUUCGAGCGGGAAGCCUGAAGCCAAACCGCGUGUUCCCACUUGAACCUCUUGGUUCAAGAACAAAGGCCUUCAACGGCACAGGCGGGGGAUGU
rfam:Thiocapsa sp. KS1 genome assembly, scaffold: THKS1_scaffold1